CCUACGGGAGGCAGCAGUGAGGAAUAUUGGUCAAUGGGCGCGAGUCUGAACCAGCCAAGUCGCGUGAGGGAUGACGGUCCUACGGAUUGUAAACCUCUUUUGCCGGGGAGCAAGCGUGCGUUCGUGAACGCACGUCGAGAGUACCCGGAGAAAAAGCAUCGGCUAACUCCGUGCCAGCAGCCGCGGUAAUACGGAGGAUGCGAGCGUUAUCCGGAUUUAUUGGGUUUAAAGGGAGCGUAGGCCGGCUUUUAAGUCAGCUGUGAAAGUCCGCGGCUCAACCGUGGAAUUGCAGUUGAAACUGGAGGCCUUGAGUGCACACAGGGAUGCCGGAAUUCAUGGUGUAGCGGUGAAAUGCUUAGAUAUCAUGAAGAACUCCGAUCGCGAAGGCAAGUGUCCGGGGUGCAACUGACGCUGAGGCUCGAAAGUGCGGGUAUCAAACAGGAUUAGAUACCCCUGUAGUC
rnacentral:rRNA from 1 species